CCUACGGGUGGCUGCAGUGGGGAAUAUUGGACAAUGGGCGAAAGCCUGAUCCAGCCAUGCCGCGUGUGUGAAGAAGGCCUUCGGGUUGUAAAGCACUUUCAGUGGGGAAGAAAGCCUUGGGGCUAAUACCCUCGAGGAAGGACAUCACCCACAGAAGAAGCACCGGCUAACUCCGUGCCAGCAGCCGCGGUAAUACGGAGGGUGCGAGCGUUAAUCGGAAUUACUGGGCGUAAAGCGCGCGUAGGCGGUCUGAUAAGCCGGUUGUGAAAGCCCCGGGCUCAACCUGGGAACGGCAUCCGGAACUGUCAGGCUAGAGUGCAGGAGAGGAAGGUAGAAUUCCCGGUGUAGCGGUGAAAUGCGUAGAGAUCGGGAGGAAUACCAGUGGCGAAGGCGGCCUUCUGGACUGACACUGACGCUGAGGUGCGAAAGCGUGGGUAGCAAACAGGACUAGAUACCCCAGUAGUC
rnacentral:rRNA from 1 species